UACAGAGGGUGCGAGCGUUAAUCGGAUUUACUGGGCGUAAAGGGUGCGUAGGUGGUUUGAUAAGUUAGGUGUGAAAUUCCCGGGCUUAACCUGGGGACUGCGCCUGAUACUGUCAAGCUAGAGUACUGUAGAGGAAAGUGGAAUUUCCGGUGUAGCGGUGAAAUGCGUAGAUAUCGGAAGGAACAUCAGUGGCGAAGGCGACUUUCUGGACAGAUACUGACACUGAGGCACGAAAGCGUGGGGAUCAAACAGG
rnacentral:rRNA from 1 species